UUUUUUUCUUUUUUGAAAAGAGUCAUUUGAGAAGUGAAAACCCCACCAUCAUGGAAGCACUCACACCAAACCUCAUCAGAAACCAAAACCAGAACUAAUGUCCUCAGAGAACAAAGAAAGGCAAUUUUUAGGGCAGCAAUCUUGUUUCUCUGGUGUUCAGGGAGCUCUGGUAUUGGUAAAUCUUCUGACUCCUAGCAAAGAGCUAUAGAAAGACCUCUCUCCAAUACUACAUGACCAAUUCUUUAAAACGCAUUUGCAAAAGUCCUAACAAGUUUGAUCAUUAUUGGCUCUGGUGUUGACACUGCAAUCCUGAGCUAAGUAUAGACUUUUAUUCUAGUGUGGCUCAGUAACAAAAGCCCAAUGAAAAGCAAAGAACAAAGAGCAACCAAAACCCUCAUAUACUCCUGGUCAGAAUGGAGAAUAGCACAACAGCUUUGGGAAGCAGACUGAGACUUCCUCAGAGAGUUAAAAAAGCGUUACCAUGUGAUUCAGCAAUUCCAUUCUUAGGUAUAUUCCCAAGGGUAAUGAAAAACAUACACUCAGGCAAAAACCUGUACAUGAAUGUUCAUGUCCGCAUUAUUCAUAAAUAGCCAAAACAUGGAAACACUCAAAAUCUCCACCAACCUGAUGAAUGGAAAAAUAAACUGUGGCACAUAACUGAGGAAUAUUAUUUGACAAUAAAAUGAAGUAUCAGCAUAUGCUAUUACAUGGAUGAACCUUGGAAACUGAUAAAUCAAAGAAACCAGUUACAAGGAUUAUAUGUAUAUUUUUAUCUCAUUUAUAUGAAAUGUCCAAAAUUGGCAAAUCCUUGGAGACAUAAAGUAUUACAGCUGGUUGUCAGGUGCCAGAGGAGGUUGGAGAGACAUGGGGAGUAACUGCAAAUGUCAAGGGGUUUCUUUCUGCAUUAAUGAAAAUGUUCUAAAAUUAAUUGUGGUGAUGUAUGUACGAUCCUAUGAGUAUCCUAAAAGCCACUGAAUUAUACACUUUAAAUGGAUGGAAUGUAUGAUAGAUUAAUUAUAUCUCAAUAAAACUAUUGUUUUAGAAAGCUAAGGCCAGAUAUUAAGCCAGCAUUAACAUUUUCCCUUGUGAAUAUCUUUGUGCCAAAAAUUGUUUCUUCUCUAACUGUUGUUAGAAUUUGGACUUAACAGGUGAGCAACAUCUAAAGAGUAAUUCUCUGUGAUUUAAGAAUGCCUGUCCAUUUUUUCCACGUUACUUUAUAUAUAAUUUAGAAAGUUGGGAAAAAGGGAAAGGGGGGUGGGCGUGUUUGUUCCUAUGAGGAGAAGAAAUGUCCAGAAGCCAGAAAAGUAGCAUCUGCUCCUGCUGGCUGUGACUAAAAUUAAGCUCUAAUUUAGCUUUCAGCUAAAAUUAUCAUAAUUGAAAUAAAACUAACAAACUGGAUGUGACUUGCAAUUUUCUCAUCACUUAGGAGAGAAGAGGCCAAAUGGUAACUCCAGAAGAGUGGGCUUCUCCCCUGAAGGGUAGCCUUAUGGUUUUGGAUGGACAAAGACUCGUUCCAUUGAUGGGACUACACUCCCUCCCAGAUCCUCCAAAUACAUGAUAAAUAAGUUGUAUUUGGAGAAAAUCCAAUGAGGCAAUAGAGAUGAGCACCUUGGGAUAGCUUGGAAUUUAGGGAAAUUAUGGGUGUGUUUUUUUUUCUUUAUUUGACUGUUCUUUUUUGGUUCUUUCUUAAAAAGAAGCUUUCACACAUUUGCAAUCAUGCACACCCCCACACGCUACACAUGCCCACAUGAGUAUGGGGUGUGUGUGUGUGUGUGUGUGUGUGUGUAAUCUUAUACCUGUAGUGGUUCACAAAUACUGAUUUAAGAAAACAAAACAGCACUUACCACAAAUAUGUGCUGCAAAUAUUUGUUCAAUACAAACUGUAAAUAUUAACACAAUAAUGAUAAUUUUAAAAAAUACAGCCAGAAGUGAGCACUCCAGGGUUCUGGAAACAAGCCAAGCACUAAAGUAUGUCUGGCUUGCUCCACAGUGGUGUCAACUCCUGUUUUUCUUACAAAAGGAAAAAAGGGAACAUGGCCUUAUUAUAAAGAAA
rnacentral:lncRNA from 1 species